rnacentral:lncRNA from 1 species
GGUAAUCAGGGUCAUUGUCACCAUCUGGAGCUUCUCCAUUCUGUAAGAACUCAUUGCUCAUAAGAGUUUGAUUCUGCUCUCGUCUCUGCUGUUCGUCAAGGUAGUCAGCUGAAAGAGACCUCUCCGACUCGGACUCGCUAAUGAUCGCCCUUGCCACCACCUUUGUGUCUCCAUUUUCUACACGAGUCGCUUCAAGGCCUUUCUUGGUAUCACAAGGAACGUCUACCAGUUUAUCCUCUUCGGAGCUGCUGCUGUGAUAAGGCAUGCGAGCACGCUUGGCUGCUUUCCCCUUCUUCCAUAUGUAUCCCUGUUUGUCGUCAGACGAAACAGCUUCAGUGGGAUUCUCGUCCGCGAUAAAACCAUCUGUUUCUGGAUGACUGUCAUUAGCCCCGGCCACGGGGACCUUAGAAGUGCCUUGUUCUGGUAUUUCGAGGCUCCGAAAAGUAUCCUCGUUGUUGGACGUUUGUGCACAGUUUCUCAACUUGAGUACUAACUUUCGCUGAGACCUUGGCCGCCUGCAUUCACCCACGUCCGAAGUCUCUGCGGGACUCUUCUUCGGAGGUUCAUCGUCUUCACGUUCCUGAGUUUCUGUAAGAACUUUCCCGUUGCGUAGAAGCCUCUGGUUCUCGUUCUCUCCAGAUGUACCAGGUCUUUUGGCAUCCUCAGCGGCCAGGCGGCGUGCUUCGUCGUCUUCGUACUCAUGUAAGCUCGAAAACAUGGUCAACGCAUUCCGAGCUGCCAUCCUCAUAGGCCUCAAUGCAUGGUCCGGGUUUGACUUUCUUAUCCGCUUUCUAGGCCUCAACCUCUGCGUUUCCUCAGGCAUCAAAAGAGCAUUGUUUGACUCCUCCAAGCGCCUGCGCUUUUGCUUCCUCACCAAGGUUGCGAGUAUCUGUAGUGGACAAUCACCAUUGAAGUUAUCAGAGACGCAAAAGCUGGACGUACGUACCUCUCUUUUCUUUUUCCUUGUUCUUCGGUUACGAACCCCAUCAGAAUCGAUUUCGUCAAUUUCUUUGUCGGUUGUUUCCGAUUCACAGAUCGUACCACUUUCUUCAUUUCCAUCCUCGUCACUCGAGCUUUCUUCGCUCGCGCAGUAAUCAGAACCAGAAUCGUCACUCAAUCCAGUGACUUCUUCAUCCCAGUCCAUUGCCUCACCAUCCGCCGGUUGUUCUACCCAUCUGUUGCCUUGCUCGUUUGUUUGCUCGAUUGCUUGUAGAGCGGCAACUACUGCUUGAGGCUGAUCUUGAGGAAUGAACGCUGGAUCAUCAAACGUUCCCACUGCGAGCUGAACUGACGGUGGUUGCCAGUUGCAACCUAGGAGUCCCAGCCGACGUUGUUGGUACGAACUUUGAUAAGGUUCUGGAUAGGGAAUCAAGCCUGAAAAUGAAACAGAAAAAUAAGUUGGACGAGGUAAGAAGUCACCAGCUUACUUGCAUCGCACAAGAGAUCUUGAAGAUUCCUUUGAUGAGGAGGCAACUGAGUUUCCUGUAAAAGAAAGAUACUCAGUUUUUGCAAGAACAAUACCGGAAAAGAACAACACUCAGGACUAAAACUAAAUAAAAGCACUUACAUCAUUUUAUUUACCUGACCGAGAACGCUUCCAUGAGUAUCUAGAACAAGAGGCCGAUAAUCUCCAAGAAAAAACUAAACAAAACCCAAACAAACAAACAAACAAAAAGCUGUUAGGAGAAGGAUCUGAAGCUAAUCUUCCUGAUACCUGGUCGUAUUUCGCAUCUUCGUCGUCUUGACUUGGUGGUGCUCCCGUAGAAAAAAGGUAGACCUGGCCGACCUCAUCGGAAACAACCAAUGAGGUUCCAUCCCUGAAAAUUGGCAAACAUGAGAACAGUAUAUGGAUAUGAGGUGAAAAGUUGCCAUCGACAAGAUUAUAAUCUCCCAUCUCAAAUGUCCUUACUGGACGGCCCUCCCAGAUCUAAAACAAAAUUCGUGAUCUUUUUUUUGAGCGAAUACACUUACAUCCCACACAAUAACUCGGCCAUCGUAGCCCGCACUCAUUGCAAUGCGAGGAUUGCAUGGAUGUACAUCUAGCACGUAAGUCUAAAUAAUAGAUGUUAAGAAAGAAUGGAAUCAAUAAAUUCCAUUCAAUACCUGUUUGGUAUGGCCAGUUAAACAGUGCACCAGCCUGCCAUCAACCGCAUUCCAGACACAUAUCCGGCAAUCUGCACAUCCAUGUUAUUCCAUAAAAUUAGUUCGUGAGGUAUCUUACCCAUAAUCGCGGCGAGUACAAAACGAUUGUCCAAACUCCAGAUUAUCAUAUUGACACCUCGAGGAGUCGGAAGUAGUUUUUGUCGAGGUCCACCAGUUCGAACGGGAGGCUGUGGCAUCGGAGGGGGCGGUACUUUCAAAUGAUAAGCUUUCACCCAUCGACCUAGCUUCAGCUGGAGGAAAGAGGAGAAGUCAUGGCAUUAGUUACACAGAAAGAAAGGCCAUGCACACCUGUUUUCUAGGACGAGGAGACCAGAUAAUAGCAGUGCCGUCUCUUGAGCAAGUAACUAUGCUAUCUUGAGGAAACCUGAACAAAACCAACGUUAAAACCAGAUAGCAAUGAGCGGCACAGUAUACCAGGUUGUUUUGAACUUCGGUAUGUUGUCAGGGACGUUGUCAUCCUUCAAAAAGUCGACGGGAGAAACUUUGAUUGGCUCUGCACAACCACUGGAACAAAGGACGAUUGAUGUCAACGAGGACCAAGCCAAAGAGGCGAACCUGAACCACACGUAGUUAACUACAUUCUCGUGUCCACUAAGAAUGUCAUGCUCAUGAUUUGGCCUGCCGGUGUACUCGUCCGCCCACUUUCUUGCGUCCCAAACCUGUUCCACAAUUGUUAGAAAUAUAAAAAGUCCACUUUAAAUGCUUACCCUGGCAAGCUUGUCCGAACUCCCAGUAACAAAGUAUGAGCCAUCUGCAUUAAACGCACAGCACUGAAUCUGAUUCGUAGCCUGUGCUCGAUUCUCAGCUCUUCUCAGCUCCUGCAGCUGGAAACAAGCUUUUAGAAGACCAAAAAAACAUCGGCAGACUCUUUACAUUCGGGUUCGACAUCCGGCUUCGGCAUGUAGACACGUGGAUUGACAGAAGAAUCCCGAGCAUCCAUGUUCCGUCUUCAGACGAACUUGAAACCACGAGAUUUUAAUACAAGUGGAAAAACCAAAUUAUUAACACUUACGAUAGAAGAUGGUGCUCACAGCCCGGUCGAGGACUAAAUUUGAUGGCCGUUACGCCCGCGGUGUGGCCACGAAGUAUUGCAACGGGAACACCAUCUGGUAAUCCCCACUAAAGGCAGAAGCGAAAUAAAUCAAAAGAAGAAACAAAAAUACAACAAAGGAAUACUUACAACACGGAUGGAGGAAUCGUUAGAAGCUGAUGCAACUAGAGUGUUCGAACUACUUACAGACAAAUCGGUUAUAUCCCCCAAAAGCCAGGUUUUAAGCACAAUAUUCGAAACGGAUGCAGAAAAUAGUACCUCGUGUCCUCUACAGCUACGAAGGCAAAGUCGAUUUUCUACGGACCAUAUCUUCACAAGCCGAUCGUCCGAGCCAGUGACAAGAUACCGUCCAGUACGAUAAAAAACGGCUGCACGUUUAUCGCUUCGUUAAUAGGUCUUGAAAAUCAAAAAGAAAAGAAACACGUACCACAAUAUACCGCAUUACGAUGACCCCUUCGCACCUGGAUGAUUCUUAUUCGGUUCACCAGUACAGAAGGCUUGAUGAUAACAUGUUUCACAGUCCGUGUGGAUGGCGGUCUGUGAUGCUUUGCAAAUCCACCACCAAGUUCACGGAACGCGAGAGCAUGAACUUGGUCAGCUUGCCAAUGCGGCCAUCGCAUUUGUUCUAUUCUCUUGGUAGAGAUACUAGUAGCAUUGCUUUACUCCGCUGUAUGAAGUUUGCUCGGAUCAGCAACGGCAAGAUUCGAAAAGUACACGGCUUACAUUCCAAAAGCGAGAAUGCUCCUGACCCCAAAAGCGUAGGAACGUCCGCGGCGGUCAAUUGCUUGGGAACUUUCGCAUCAAGCAAGGACGCGGACUUGUCGUGAACAAGUAGUUGCUGCAAGAGCUUAACCAAGUGGUUGUUGUCAACGUUCUUAUAUCUGAAAAUCGAAAAAAAAAAAUCCAUCCUUUUGUCAGCAAGACAAACCAAAAAAACAAAGAACUUAGCGACACACAAUACCUCUCGGCAACUUGCGCGUAGCUGAGUGGGAACGACAAGCCAUCGUCAUUCUCGUCGGCGGGGGGCGUUCCAUUCCUGAUGGUACCUCCGGGGCAAGAGCUUGUGCUGUAGGAGCUCGUUCCAGAGCUGGUCAGUGGCUCUCUCGUAAGGGCCUCUCCUCAGGAAGUGCAUGAUAACUUCCGCAACUCGAUCUCCUCGUCUUGUUCAUGCAGGUGAUGAUCAGCUCCAACAUCAGACCGUAAAGCCACGAACGUUAGUCAGUCUGCACGAGAGGUUAGCUAAGCUGCAUGAAGAUUGCACCCGAGUCUACUUGAAGACAGAAAACUUGAAAGCUUCGAUUCAAUGUUCCGUUACCAUACAAAGCAUUUGAACCGAGUGACUAUAUGCGAUAUCCGCAGCUCCAAAGGACCUCCUGAAUAAAUAGUUACACUCAUCCACCUACAAGGAAGUACCAAUUAGACAAUGCCAGACCACGUUCAUGUGUAUGUUCUUGGCCGGAAAAAGACUUACUAUCAGAAGCUCACGACAUAUGAGCCUUUUUAUUUCGAAGAACGAAGAUCCGAAUCAGAAAAAAUUUUCCUGAGAAAAAAAAAGAACAGCUUUGUCGUUUCUAUGAAUCAACUACUGAUCAUUGAACCAGCAGCAGCGCCACUUACCCACCACUGUGCUCUUUGCACACGACUGGAUCAAGCCAUCCAAACCCUGAUCCAGUAUUUUAAAAGCCGCACAAAAUCUAGAUCUAACAAAUGCUUACCUGAUAGAGGGAUGCGGAAUAGUCGAUCAUGACUUGGUUGUGGGCUGCUAUAACAUCCUGGAGCAUGAAUGGGAUCCAUUUGUGCAGCAGUGAAGGAGGAUUUGCAAGCAAUCCAUGGUGCAUUGUUGCCAUGGCUAGAGCAGUGAAUGUUGCAGCUAUGCGUGCUGCAAUCAAGGAGGACCUCCAAGCACUUCACGAUACAGUGAAGGAACCACAGCAACAACGUCUUCUUUUAUGGCACUAUGGAUUGUUGGCAAAUCCUCCCUCACUGCCGCACGAAUGGCCAUCACCUUGAGAUUCUCAGUCACAGCUCCCAUUCCUGCACGCAUGGCAGAUGCCAGCACCAGCACACAAGCUGUGGUCACGAUGCACAGCACAUUAAUCGCAAUGGUGCUAACAAGCACUAUAGCAAUCAAAAACUCCAUUGGCAAGGUUUGCAGCAAAGCCUUUGCAAAAUCGAAAAUGAAAUCAAGUUUACAGUAGUUAUGAAAGACACAAAUGACACUCUUACCAGAAGUUCGAGCCGCCCGCCCUAUCUUCGCAAGAACCCUAAGCUAACAGUCGCUUUAUCUUACGUACAAUGGGCCACUGGCCACUUUCUUGGUGGACCGCCAUUCGUACAGUGGUCUGGCGGGAACUCGAGUUCCUUGUGCCACGAUCAGUGGAUUCUCGCGAUUUCUAUCAGUACACGGGCUCAAUGACAAGAGGAGGAGGAAGAGGAGAAGGAUGGCGCUCCAUCUCCUCGACUUCUUUCGUCCUCAUGGUUUUCCAGGUAUAAAAAGAUUGAGAGUGAUCCUCGGACUGAUCUCGUGUUUGACAAUGUAGAUGGAUCAUGGAUGUGUAAGGAAAAUGUUUCUUUUCUUCAUUAACUAAGACCUCGAGAAAAUUUUUACAAAGCUCACAUUUGCAGUGCCUCAGAGAAGCGUUCUCUCAGCCGCUCCACCUUGAGCACCGACGAAUGCUGUUUCCCAAAAUAUGUCCGGAAGUUGUCGAUCAGUAUCCUAAGAUCGUGUGACACCGCCAUCAUGCUACGAUAAUAGUUGUUCUCCAGCCGCUCGCGAAUCACGUCCAUGGAGAUUGGCAGCGCAAUCCUGCAUUGUUUGAAAACCUUUAGCUUCUUUCUCAAUCGCAAGAGAUUUUUCCAACUUGCCUGUCAAGAAAAUCCGCCUUGCUCACGGCCUGCUGCAACCUCCACAAGCCAUACUCGUCCUGUGAAAAGCAAAAGCUCGUCAAGCCAAGACCAAAACCGAAACAUUCCUCGUGGUUCGAGUGGAGCACCUCGUCCACGAUGUCGAGCAGCUCACGCACCUUGUCCUGCUCGAUCUGUGGCGACUCCCAAGUUAAAGGAUUCUCAACGUCGUGAAGCUCCCAGGGGCAGUGAUUCGUCGUCGAUGGCUCGUCCUUGUACAGCACACUGAUGCUGUCCCAGGGGCUGUUUGGAAACUCGGGCGACUUUGCCUUCACCUGAGUUAUCGUCCCUUCCCACCAGCGACCACCUUCUUCCUCGUCCGACCUCCACCACACUUGGCACUUGUCCCGACUGGACCAGUUCCUGGCCAUGAAGGCCUCGUAGCGGCUUCUCUCCACUAUAAAGUCGGCGAAGUCUGUCAGCUCCGGCAAGUCGACGCUGAAGCUGCUGCCGCGAAUCCUGUGCCCGUCCAUGAACUCGAGAGUCAGCCGGCAACAAGUGUUCCUCAACACUUCGAGAAUGAUGUACUCCAGUCCGGUGAUCUCGCAGAACUCGACCGCUUGCAGUUCCCUUUUCACGCUUCUCCAGGGACCAUUGUCGUCGAGCCGCUUGUUGUCUAAGUAGUCUUGAUGUCCCUUCUUGAUGUCCCGGAAGUACACCACCUCAUCACCAUACUGUGGGAUGUAGCGUGUCCGCUCCACCUCUGUCAAGAGUAACCAGGACACGUUGCUCGGACUCCGAUGCACCGUGCUGAGGUUUCUCCUCACGUGGAAAUCCUUGUACCUCGACCCAACGUUCUUCUGCAGCUUCACUUUCAGUCUGCUCGAAGUUCUUCUUUCGGGCUUUCGGCGUCCAUCGUCGUCGCUGCUUCUAUCCCAGUCCGAGUCGUCGUAAGACGAGCUAGCUUCCCAGUGUGAGGGACGGCCGACGUUUCUCCUCCUUCUUGUGGACCUGCUGUUGGAGAGACUAACCACGCGACCCUGCGCCAGCCGUGUACUUCUCCUGCGGCCACCUGAAGCGUGCUCGUCGGCCUCAUAACACUCGGUCUUAGUCGCAACUUUGCGAGGCCUUCUCCUUGAGUAGACGGCCUUGUUCAUAUUGCGCUUCAUUUGUAUAUCGUCCACGUCCUGCCUGCUCUUCCUCGGGCUUGUAAGCAUCCUCCAGCGACUCACUGUUACUGCCUGGUGAAACCUCUUCGUGGUAAUCAGGGUCAUUGUCAGCAUCUGGAGCUUCUCCAUUCUGUAAGGACUCAUUGCUCAUAGAGUGUGAUUCUGCUCUCGUCUCUGCUGUUCGUCAAGGUAGUCAGCUGAAAGAGACCUCUCCGACUCGGACUCGCUAAUGAUCGCCCUUGCCACCACCUUUGUGUCUCCAUUUUCUACACGAGUCGCUUCAAGGCCUUUCUUGGUAUCACAAGGAACGU